UACGAAGGGGGCUAGCGUUGUCCGGAAUCACUGGGCGUAAAGGGCGCGUAGGCGGCGCUCCAAGUUAGGCGUGAAAGUCCUGGGCUCAACCUGGGAACUGCGCUUGAUACUGGAGUGCUUGAGGAUGGAAGAGGGUUGUGGAAUUCCCAGUGUAGAGGUGAAAUUCGUAGAUAUUGGGGAAGAACACCGGUGGCGAAGGCGGCAACCUGGUCCAUUACUGACGCUGAGGCGCGACAGCGUGGGGAGCAAACAGG
rnacentral:rRNA from 1 species